AACUUGCUGCAACGUAUCACUUGGUUCUCGCAUCGAUUAAGAGCGCAGCGAAAUGCGAUAAUUAAUGUGAAUUGCAGAUUUUCGUGAAUCAUCGAGUUCUUGAACGCACAUUGCGCCCUCUGGUAUUCUGGAGGGCAUGUCUGUUUGAGCGUCAUUUCAUUCUCACUUUACAGUGGUUAUGACAUUGUCAGAAAUGACUUUGUUGAAAAAGAUUAGGAAAACACCAAAGAACUAGGUUUACACCUCUUUGGAGUAUCCUUUGCGAAAAAAUCAGAAAGUUUGACCUCAAAUCAGAUAGGAAUACCCGCUGAACUUAAGCAUAUCAAUAAGCGGAGGCU
rnacentral:misc_RNA from 1 species